rnacentral:rRNA from 1 species
AUAUAACUAGGCGGAGGAAAAGAAACUAACAAGGAUUCCCUUAGUAACGGCGAGUGAAGCGGGAAAGGCUCAGACUGAAAAUCUUCGGAGUUGUAGUCUGGAGAAGUCAAGUCAACAAUGAUUCUCGGAUAAAGUCUGUUGGAACACAGCGCCGUGGAGGGUGACAGCCCCGUUCAUAUCUGAGAUGAAGUGUGUACGACUGGCUUUCUAAGAGUCGAGUUGUUUGGGAUUGCAGCUCUAAGUGGGUGGUAAAUUCCAUCUAAAGCUAAAUAUAAAUGGGAGACCGAUAGCGACAAGUA